rnacentral:tRNA from 1 species
GCCGAAGUGGCGGAAUUGGUAGACGCGCUAGGUUCAGGGUCUAGUGUGGGUUCCCACGUAGGGGUUCGAGUCCCCUCUUCGGCACCA